rnacentral:rRNA from 1 species
AUGAACGUUGGCGGCGUGUUUAAGGCAUGCAAGUCGAGCGACGGGCCCACUUCGGUGGGAAACCGAGCGGCAAACGGGUGAGUAACACAUUAGUAACCUACCUCUAAGACAGGGACAACUCAGAGAAAUCUGGGCUAAUACCUGAUAGGCAUGGGGGGACGAAAGUCAUUCCCAUGUAAACCUCCGGGGCUUAGAGAGGGGCUUAUGUCUGAUUAGCUUGUUGGUAGGGUAAUGGCCUACCAAGGCGACGAUCAGUAGCAGGCGUGAGAGCGUGACCUGCCUCACUGGGACUGAGACACUGCCCAGACUCCUACGGGAGGCUGCAGUCAAGAAUAUUCCACAAUGGCCGAAAGGCUGAUGGAGCGACGCCGCGUGCAGGAAGACGCCCUUCGGGGUGUAAACUGCUUUUAUGUGGGAAGAAUUUGUGACGGUACCACAUGAAUAAGAGGUUGCUAACUCUGUGCCAGCAGCAGCGGUAAUACAGAGACCUCAAACGUUAUCCGGAUUCAUUGGGCGUAAAGCGUCCGCAGGUGGUUUUAUAAGUCAAUGGUCAAAUCUUAGGGCUUAACUCUGAGACUGCUAGUGAUACUGUAAAACUUGAGACUGGGAGAGGCAAGCGGAACUGCAGGUGUAGUCGUAAUAAGCGCUGAUAUCUGUAGGAACACCAAAGGCGAAGGCAGCUUGCUAGAACAGUUCUGACACUCAUGGACGAAAGCGUGGGGAGCGAAGGGGGAUUAGAUACCCCCGUAGUCCACGCCCUAAACGAUGCAUACUAGGUAUUGCGAGUAUCGACCCUCGCAGUGCCCGUUGAAAAAAGCUAACGCGUUUAAGUAUGCCGCCUGGGGGAGUACGGCCGCAAGGUUAAAACUCAAAGGAAUAGACGGGGACCCGCACAAGCGGUGGAUCAUGCGGUUUAAUUCGAUGAUACGCGUGGAACCUUACCUGGACUUGACAUGUAGCUGCAAGUUCUUAGAAACAAGAACCUCUUUCGAAGGUGCUACACAGGUGCUGCAUGGUUGCCGUCAGCUCGUGCCGUGAGGUGUACCGUUAAGUCGGGUAACGAGCGCAACCCUCGUCGUAUGUUAAAUGUACAUACGAGACUGCCCCGGUAACGGGGAGGAAGGUGGGGACGACGUCAAAUCAGCAUGGCUCUUACGUCCAGGGCUACACGCAUGAUACAAUGGCCAGUACAAAGGGUUGCCAAACCGUAAGGUGGAGCUAAUCCCACAAAGCUGGUCCCAGUUCAGAUUGCGGGCUGCAAUUCGCCCGCAUGAAGUUGGAAUCGCUAGUAAUCGCGCAUCAGCCACGGCGCGAUGAAUACGUUCUCGGGUCUUGUACACACCGCCCGUCAAGGGCGA